AUUAUGGCCUCCGUUUAACGGCGGCGCGCACACAAUAAGCGCCACGCUACUAUUGGUCAAUCCCAUCGGUGAGGAUAGUUUCGUCGACGGCAGUACAGCAGUUCCGCCAUAAUUCAACAUUUGAGCGCAUAAAACACGGCCUUUUAGAGCAUACUCAUGCUAUGUAAGCCCUUAAACAGAUGGAGAUUGUCACUAAGAAAAUGAAGAGUCAUCAGGGAAGGCUUGCCACAGACCCACACUGAUGUAGACUUGAGUCAACCAGGCGAACUGAGUUGCAUUUGCUUAUGAGGUAACAAGGACACAGAAAACAUAUUCUUAACAAAAGAUACACGAACUAAGAUCUUGGAACAAAGUCAAGGAUAGGUUCCACUUCUCGCUUCUUGCAGGUAUGAAUGUAUGGAAAGGAUGGAGCUUAUAUUACAUUGUUUGUCUAAUUGCGUAUUUAAAGUAACAUAAUUUUUCCUGUGCUAUGUUGAUAUUAGAAGAUAUGGAACAUAUAUUGUAUGCAAUUGAGGCUAUUUAUCUUUGUUGUAUAAUACCGUCUGCAACAAUAUGACAUCCAUCUUCAUUCUUAUUUAGAUCACAAUUUUUACAACUUCUUGGCUGCACAGGAGUCUGUAAUGUGCACCUUUUAGUUUUUAGACAUUGAUUUUGUGUGAAGUAUCUGGAGAUUUGUGAUGGAUUUUCUAUGUCAUGUUAUAUAUUUAUUAUUUUGUGCACAAUUCUCCUAGCCUAGGUCGUACUCUGUAUGUUUGUAAUUUGUUGCACAUGACAAUGACAAUGUGAGACAUUUGGCUACUGUUAUGUGAAAUGAUAAUAUCCAAAGUGUACAUGUAAAUAUGUUCAGGUUGACUUCUUUUCUGUUAGCAGUGGAAAAGGAAGGGUCCAACGUAUCAUGUAAUGAGUAGGUUCUUUGAUGUUGAGAGGUGUUAAUAUUUUCCAACAGUGAACAUGACAACAUUGUUAUGGUAUUUGGUGACAAUAUUUAGUUUGAAUAGCUCAAUUCUUACAUGAUGUUUUUGUAAAAAAAACACGAAAGUUUUUGCAAAGAACUUAGAAGAUGAUACGAAAUGUCUUUUGUCUCCCAAAGUUUUUUAUAUUAUAUACAUGUACUUUUGUGCAAAUUGUGUCACAGAGCGAAGGAGAUAGUGAAUUAAGUAUGUUUACAUUACCUACUGGUGCACAAUGAAGUUCUUAUUAAAAUGUGAACCUAUACCGAUUCAUUAGACUAUUGCUUCAAGUUUCUUUUGUGUUAAGUAAUUUUAUUUGAUGCUUCUCGGAUUUUUUCAGAAAAAUAUUGGGGUGGGCGGUCGAAAAAAAAAGGAAAAUAAAAUUUUGCAAAAAGUGUUGGGUGAACAUAUGAGGCUUUAAUAUAUUACACAAAAAAGCAAGGUUAGUAAUCAAGAUUUCAGCGUUUCGUCUAAAAAAUUAUUCCGCACCCAAUAAAGUUAGUUUGAAGAAAAUCA